rnacentral:misc_RNA from 1 species
GAUGAAGAACGCAGCGAAAUGCGAUAAGUAAUGUGAAUUGCAGAAUUCAGUGAAUCAUCGAAUCUUUGAACGCACAUUGCGCCCGCCAGUAUUCUGGCGGGCAUGCCUGUUCGAGCGUCAUUACAACCCUCAGGCCCCCGGGCCUGGCGUUGGGGAUCGGCGGAAGCCCCCUGCGGGCACAACGCCGUCCCCCAAAUACAGUGGCGGUCCCGCCGCAGCUUCCAUUGCGUAGUAGCUAACACCUCGCAACUGGAGAGCGGCGCGGCCACGCCGUAAAACACCCAACUUCUGAAUGUUGACCUCGAAUCAGGUAGGAACACCCGCUGAAUUUAAGCAUAUCAAUAAGCGGAGGA